rnacentral:rRNA from 1 species
AGAGUUUGAUCCUGGCUCAGAACGAACGCUGGCGGCAGGCUUAACACAUGCAAGUGAACGGGAUUUGAUGGUAGCUUGCUAUCAUUAAUGAGAGUAGCGCACUGGUGAGUAACACGUGGGAACAUGCCUUUUGGUGGGGGACAACAGUUGGAAACGACUGCUAAUACCGCAUAAGCCCGGAAGGGGAAAGAUUAAUUGCCGAAAGAUUGGCCCGCGGAAGAUUAGGUAGUUGGUGGGGUAAAGGCCUACCAAGCCGACGAUCUAUAGCUGGUCUGAGAGGACGAACAGCCACAUUGGAACUGAGACACGGUCCAGACUCCUACGGGAGGCAGCAGUGAGGAAUAUUGGGCAAUGGAGGCAACUCUGACCCAGCCAUGCCGCGUGAGUGAAGAAGGUUUUCGAAUUGUAAAGCUCUUUCGGGUGUGACGAUGAUGACGGUAACACCUAAAGAAGCCCCGGCAAACUUCGUGCCAGCAGCGGC